AACAAAGACCAAAGUGGAUCAAGGACCGCAGAAACGUCAAGGUAAAUGACGUUGUCAUUCUGCAAGACAACACUAUACCACGUGGCCAAUGGAAGCUGGCCAGGGUUGUGGAAGUGUACCCAGGAGGGGAUGGAAGAGUGAGAAGGCUCAAGCUGCUUAUCAGCGACUCUACCCUGGAUGUAAAGGGAAAGUGCCUCGCUAAACCUGUCUACCUCGAAAGGCCUAUUCACAAGACGGUGUUGUUGUUGGAAGCAGACUAAGACUCAGUUACUCUCACUCACACUCUGCACUUAAUAGGUCUAAAACGAAAUAGUUAGUUUUACAUUAAUGUAUAUCGGUUUUUCUAAAAAUGUUAUGGAAAUCACAGGUGAUUUGGUGGGAGUGUAACUGUCUUCACUUUCUGUUGUUCAUUUGUUUCCACGUUGUAUUUUUGCUUCCUACCUUUUAUGUGCAACAUUAUUAGAGGCGGAACUAAUCUGCUGUGUUUUGUGUUACACCUAUUUAAUCGACGCACUGGAUAGUUGCAACGGCAGAGCAACGCAGGACGUUAAAGGAAAACUAAGGAAACCAAGGGAAAAUGCAUAUAAAGUUAUCAGCCCCUCUAGGUGACUAGCAGCCUACGAGUUCUCACGGGUUGGAAUAGGUCCCACAAGAAUAAACCCCGUAUUUAAUCAAGA